GAAACUGCUGAUGAGGAAUUCGGGUCACCUUCGUCCAUCUCAGCGAGUUUGACAAAAAUGGGCUAUCCAUAGUAAUGGAAACAUUACACGCAUGUACCUCGGCUUCCCUGCAGCACGAUGACAGUGGUUUAGCCACAUCCUUGGUAGUGGUGGCUACAUCAUCCUUGGUUCUGGUGGACGCCACCACCCAAGACCAAGCCGCUUCCUCCACAAUCACACGCCGGGAGAGAAAGAGAACGUGAUACUUCCUUUUCCCUGUUCGCAGUGACCCUCGUAGCGUUCUAAUAUGAAGAAAUAUGGGCUCCCGCGGUUUUCAAGGGGGUUUUGUUUAGGACAGCCACGCAGCAGAAUGAACAAACACUACUACUUCUGCAAAAGUGACAUUCAAGAGCUAUUUAGUCUCAAUGCUUGCUGUACAUACAAAGUUUUCAUUUUUCCUAACACGAAAGCAAUUGCAAGAAGAGCAUGAACAGGAGCUUGUCAUAUAAGAACCGUCCGCUGCGGAGGAUGAGCUGCGGCGAGCAGCACAGGAGGUGGAUGGAUACAGGACCGGCCGCUGAGGAAGGAUUCGCUGCCUGCCUAACCAACGCCGCUCUCAUGCCUGCCUUGGGUGGGGUUCAGCCAUCUUCUUGUUCGCCCAGCACAAGCACCAUCUUCUUGUUUGCCCAGCACAAGCACCAUCGGAGGUGGUGAAGACCAGCAGUUGCGGAUCCUCCUUGUACAAGGUGAGGAGCAUGGCACCCUUGACAACAAGGAGGGUGCGGAUGUCGCUCGCUGGUAGCGCAAGAGCACUAUGGAGAUGUCCUUCCGCUAAUUCCUACACAUAGAGGAUGCUUGUACGAUAUCUGAAGGAUGCACAGAGAGCUUCAACUUAUUUAGCUGCACAUGGUUACAACAUAAGCACCAAUGAUGUUGUUGUUGGCCAGGAGCCAGGUGCUCUUGAAGCUUUGGUGCAACUAACACAUUCUGCCAAUGAAGUUGUCAGGUAUAAUUCUGCUUUUGUCGAGCGACCAUUGACUUGUGCCAAGCUUUUGAACUACAUGCCACAAACUUCAAACUACAACAACUGGGUAAUUGUUUUUUCAUGCUUCAAUUAGACAAGAAGCUGUUGAUGGUGUUGUGGUACUUGUCGUUUGACAAUAGAGAUCGUGAUUCCAUAGUUUC